rnacentral:rRNA from 1 species
GUUAACGUUGUCGGUGCAUGCAGCAAUGUAUGUGCUGAGCGACUGAAGCCCUCGUCAAUGUCAGCGGUAACUAUAACCGUUCUAAGGUAGCGCAAUUCCUUUCCGGGUAAGUUCCGGAGCGCACGAAUGGUGUAACGACUGGGGAACUGUCUCAAGGAAAAGCUCGGUGAAAAUGCGAUUGCCGUGAAGACGCGGUGUACCUCUAACGGGACGAAAAGACCCCAGGAGCUUUACUAUAGCUUGGUAUUGAUGUUAAGGUUUGACUGCGUAGCAUAGUGGGGAGACUUUGAAGCGAUUCUUUCGGGAUUCGUGGAGUCGUCAGUGAAAUACCCAUCUUUCUUUCUUUACCAUCUAACUCCAACGGAAAAAACGUUGGAAAACAGUGCCUGGUGGGUAGUUUUAAUGGGGCGUUAUCCUCCUAAAGAGUAACGGAGGAGUCUAUUAAGGUCAGCUAAGGUCGGAUGGAAAUCGACCGCAUUGUGUAAAGGCAAAAGCUGGCUUGACUGCAAGGCAUACAAGCUGCGCAGGUGCGAAAGCAGAGCUUAGUGACCCGACGGUUCAUUAUAGAAAGGCCGGAGACAUCGGCUAAAAGCUACCCUGGGGAUAACAGGCUAGUGAGAUCCGAGAGUCCCUAUCGACGAUCUCGCUCGGCACCUCGAUGUCGGCUCGCCCUAGCGCGGGGCUGGAGAAGGUCCCAAGCGUUUGGCUGUUCGCCAAUUAAAAGGGCACGCGAGCUGGGUUUAAACCGUCGUGAGACAGGUUGGUCUCUAUCUGUUAGAGGCGUUGAUGUUUGAAGGAAGCUGCCCCUUGUACGAGAGGAUCGGGGUGGACGAACCACUGGUCUACCGGCUUUGGUACCAACUGAAUUGCCGGGUAGCUAUGUUCGGACGGGAUAACCGCUGAAAGCAUCUAAGCGGGAAGCCUCUCCUAAGAUUAGACAUCGUUUGAGACUCCUGGAAGACUACCAGGUUGAUAGGCUUCAAGUGUAAGCAUGGUAACAUGUGUUUACUGUUGAAUGUGAGUUGAUAAGUGAAGAAU